rnacentral:rRNA from 1 species
UUCGGAAUUACUGGGCGUACACGCGCACGUAUUCAGCUUUGUAAGUUAGAGGUGAUAGCCUGGAGCUCAACUCCAGAAUUGCCUUUAAGACUGCAUCGCUUGAAUCCAGGAGAGAUGAGUGGAAUUCCGAGUGUAAGGUGAAAUUCGUAGAUAUUCGGAAGAACACCAGUGGCGAAGGCGUCUCACUGGACUGGUAUUGACGCUGAGGUGCGAAAGCGUGGGGAGCAAACAGGAUUAAUACCCUGGUA